UUUAUUUCAAGUUUAUGAAUUGAACCUUCACCAAGAAUCGCGCAAAGUUCGUUUAAUCUUCGCUGCAUCUUCGGAACCCCUGCCAGGUUAUGCUAACUGACUUCUCUUGAAAAGUAAUGUUCACCCACAAACCCUUGUUUAAAUGCAAGGUGAGGCGGGGAUACUUAGAUGCACAGUUAUUUGUUCCCAAUAUUUACUGAUUAAUGCAUUGCACAAAAAAAAG